GCGUGGGUCGGCCCGCUGUACUGGAUCCAGCGGGCUGGGGGAUUCCGCCGCCUACAUCCCCGCGGGCGGCGGAACGGUCCGGGGGGCGUACACCGUUCCCCGGACUGCG
rfam:Streptomyces caeruleatus strain NRRL B-24802 genomic scaffold PRJNA299234_s023, whole genome shotgun sequence.